UACGUAGGGAGCGAGCGUUGUCCGGAAUUACUGGGCGUAAAGGGCGCGUAGGCCGUGUUUCAAGUCAACUGUAAAAUCCCGGAGCUUACCUUCGGUUCGCAGUUGAAACUGAAACGCUAGAGGCACAGAGAGGCAGACAGAAUUCCUGGUGUAGCGGUGAAAUGCGUAGAUAUCAGGAAGAAUACCAGUGGCGAAGGCGGUCUGCUGGCUGUGAACUGACGCUGAAGCGCGAAAGCCAGGGGAGC
rnacentral:rRNA from 1 species